GGGCUUACUUCUCUCGAGAGAGUGGGAAAACAAUAUUUGACUAAGAACCAUUUGUCUAGCUUCUCUAAGAAAAUGUUCCAAUCAGAAAAUAUACUAGUUCCAAACUUGUAAAAAAAAUUUAACUAAUAGUCAGCCACAAUGCAAACUUUUCAGCAUCAUCUGGUGAUCAUAGAAUAUUUGGGUUCUGUUGAUUGACAUUCUUCCCCUUCUAGUCAGGUUGGUUCAGGAUGAGAUAAAAAUCCAACUUUUCCCAAUUAAAAAAGAAAUUAAAACUGACAUAAGUAAAGGUAAUAAAUAGUUACAGCGCCAUGUCGAGAUACCAGCUUGUGCAAUUGUAUGUCUAAUAUCUUCUUGUUCAGAACCAGCCUACACAGAAGAAAUAGAAGAGGCAGAUCAAUAAAAGAUUAGUUUUGCAAAAAUCGUAACUUUCAAAUAAGAACUUUCAGGUGCUUGAUCCAGUCACCUGAAUAAUUAUCUUUUUGGAAAGGAUGUCUUUCCACAAUAGUACAGUUCCUCAAGAGCACCAGACAUGCUUACUAACUUGAAAAGUCUCCUGCAAACCAAAAAGAAUUAAGAGUGUUCAUAAUCCAAAAAGAGUAUAUCUCAGGCUAACCAAAAAAAGAAUUCAUCUCAUACUUGUCAUCAGGAACAGAAACUCUACACUUUGCAUCAUUAGCAAAGAAAGAGCGAGAAACAUGAGUAAGAUCAUCAUGAAACCAUACAUUUUAACCAAUUAAACUACAGAUUAGUGCAAGUUGCUCUCUGGGAAUGAGCUUGACUGAGAGAAACAUUGGAUCAUGCAUGCUGCUGCUAAAUCAGCUUUGACUUCUUCAUGCCGAUGCUUGAAUUCUGGGAGACAGAGAAACAUGUUCAGUACCAACAUUAAAGGAGUCAACAACAUAAGCUCACGACUGGCAUCGUGAAGCAAGGGAUAUUGUAAUAUAUAAAUAUAUACUGUCAGAUACUAACUCAGGACUGGAAUGGAUACAAAUGGUGAUAGUACUUGGAUUUUCCUUGUUAACCUCAAGAUUGACUUACGCAAGAUUUCAGAUAUUCACCUAGUUGAAACUUUGAUGUUGAUAAGUUAAGAGUAGAAAUUUGCCAUAUAAAUUUUCUCGUGAAGCAAGCUGAGUCUUUAGUUUCUUAUCUUCAAUUACUACAGAACAGGAAGAAACAAUCAACAUUUGUCCAAAAAAAAAAGAAAAGAAGAAGAAACAAUCAGCGUAUGCAUUUCCCAACUAAAAGCCACAAGCAUUAACAUUAUGUAAAUACCUCUAAAUUAUCUCCUUCUCCUGAAAAAUAUUUCUUCCCUAAGCCUCCAACUCAAACUCGAUCUCCUGCAUACAAAUUUAAAGCCAAGUUCUCAACUCUACUGAAACCCACAAACCAAUAUAGUGUUUUUAGAUUCUAACCAACGAAGGAGGUACCUACACAUCAGGAUGACCUUCUCCAUGAGAUUGCUACCUUCUGAAGCGGCAUCCAUCUCGAUCCUUGCAAGACCUCCUUAUAACCUAAACAAAUUAAAUAUAGUGUCAGAUCAGAAUAGUAUUCCGGAAGUUAUUCGAUACCUAAUGCGAGAUCCAAAUAAAAAUCGAUGACAAAGAGCAUAAGAAUAAGCUAGCGAAAGGAAAACAAAUCUCAAGCUCUAUAAGCCAAAAACCUAAGCGUGAGAAAAACUGAGAAUUAGAUUCGGCCAUCACUCGAUUUAUAUGUUAUGGGUCAUAACGUUAAUCAAUUAAUUUAUGCAAUUAACUGUAUAAGAAGCGGUUAUGAAUUCGCAGGGAAGGAAACCAAGAGAUUCAUCGGGAAGGAGAUGAAGAGAACGGUGGUGAAGGAAUAAAUAGACAUUGCAGUAUAGUACUCCCUCAUUAGUUGAUUUUAUUUGCUGAGGUGGACACCCUCUCUACUCCUCAUAUGACCCUUUUAGGAUUAGUUAGAUUCAUGUUAAGCACAUCAAAAUUUGUAUAAUAGUUUUUUGAUGAUCUUUAAUGAGUUUUGUAAUUUAUUAGCAGUUUAAUUUAUGUUGGAUAUAUACCAUCAAAGUUCUGUGGAAUAUAUACUUUCAUGGUUCUCAUGCAGACCUCGAAGGAACUGAUAGCCGAUUUGUCCAGAGAAACUCAGUGGCCCUCGCUUUCGUCAGCCAACUGUGGUCCAUCUCGGCGUCGUCAACCUGUUGCAAGGGCAAUCAACGCUUCGAAGCCUUCUCCGCAUAAUAGCUACUCCUCGAGUGUAACUGCCAAGGUACCACAAGGUAUUUGUGAUAAUGAUCCUGAGUACCCUUGGGCUUCAAAAAUGGAGAAAUCUGCAUAAGAUCACCUCGCCUGAGUUUCUCGAGGAUGGUAUGCCAAAGGUACGUAUUCCUCGCCACGUCUUACUGGAAGGAUUAGAGAACUAGAAGGAAUUUGUAAUUGGUCAAUUCUAUCGGUGCUCUGCCCCUGCUUCUGGCUUAAUUCAAUAUGUUGUUAGUAGAAUCUGGGGAACUAGAUGCUGGAUUUACACUCGUGAGAUAGGAAACAAUGCUUUUUUGUUUCACAUUCCGGAUGAGUUUACUCGUAAGUGGGUAGUUCAGAGAGGUAUAUGGCAUGUGGAUGAUUGUAUAAUGUUUGUAUCUACUUGGGAUCCUAAGGGUACUAUCACUGCCCUGAGAAAUCUACAAUCCCGGUUUGGCUUACUCUGAAAGACAUUCCCCACCAGCUUUAUUCCAAGAAAGGUAUAAGCUGGAUAGCUUCCCGUAUAGGGGCACCGAUGCUCACUAGUAAGCCUUGGCUUGAUCCUAUACUGAUGGGUGAGGCAAAAAUUCUGGUUGAAGUUAAGUUGGAUAGACCAUUUCCGCAAAGAGUAGCACUCGAAGAUGACAGUUGUUUAAACUGAGACUGUCAAUAAACUAGUAAAGAGAAGAGACGAGUUCUCGUCGGUGGGUCAAGACAAAGACGUGUUUUAUUAGAUCAAUGAGUCGAAACCGAGUUACAAAAAGGGGAAGAGAACAGAGGAAAAAGUCCGGCGAAGACAAAUUCGUCGGACCGUACAAGUCGGCGAGAUGUAAGAUGUAAAACCCUAAUUCUAGCCGAAAGUGAGUGUAGUAAUUUGCGGAUCCCCUCCUUGUUGCCUUGUCUCCUCCUUUUAUAAGUGAAUGCUCGUUGACCUAAUGUGUCUUGUCUCGAUGGGCCUCUUCGAGUAGUUGGGCUGACUCGUCGGGCCGUUGUGUCAGGUCGACGAGCCGAUGACGUUUAGUCAAUCACCUCAUUGACUGAAAGUAGUCUGAGCCAAGCUGAACACCGGCUUUCGAGUCGACGAGCCGAUCUUCUGUGUUGUAAUCAUAUGUCUGGGGAAUCGUCUUGCGGGCCUUUUGGGAGGGCUAAGCCCAUACCCAACAGUAAGUCCCCCCAGUUCGCUGAUGAGUAGCGUAGCCGACUCAGCGAAUUUGAUAGUAGGGUUUGCGAGACAAUUAUCUCAAAUUUGUGAUUUCGAUCGACGAUCGACGAUCGACUCCUUGACUAUCCAAUCGACUCCUCGACUAUCCAAUCGACUCCUCGACUGCGCAAUGGACUUUGUAUGCUUCGCUGGUGAGUAGCGUAGCCGACUCAGGGUUCUCGAGAGAAUUAUUCCAAUCGACUCCUCGACUAUCCAAUCGACUCCUCGACUACCCUGUCGACUCUUCGACUAUGCAGUAGACUUUGUGUGCUCGCGUUCGAGGAUCUGACUGAUCUGAUUCUGAUGAUGAUUUUCUUUUAUUUAAACCGGUGGUUAGUUCCGGUUUUGAUUGAACCGAUUUCGGUUCCCCUCGAGAAGCUGAAAGUCGCGACGUUUGGUGAGCUUCACGCGCUUUAAUAGGCCAACACUAGGCCCAUCUAGGUCUAAUGAUGACGCCUCGGGGUGCGAGGUGCUCCUCCCCCUAUAAAUACCCCUCUUCCUUCUUGUUUUCCCUACUCUUCAUCCGGCUCAGGUACUUUCUCUCUCUAACUCUUUCCUUCUCUCUCUAACUUUGUAGUCUUAGAUCUGAGAAUGUCAUCGGUCGGUAAGGGUAAACUUUCUAGGGAACAGAAAGGGAAAGCCGCGGUGGGUGCGACCGAAUCGAGUCCCGUACGAGUCGUCGAGUCGAAUUCCUCGCCCGAUUUUGAGACGAUUCAUCGUGAAGCCAUGAUGGAUACGGAGAAUAUGGACACGCCCCAGCGAGUUCUCGUUGCUGAUUCGGCGCGGCAGCUCCGCGAGGAGAGAGAAAACGUAACAUUAAUUUCAAGAGACGGUUAGGGUGGAGCUGAUGUCGGAGAGGCUUCCCUCCCCGAUUUCGUUCCGUGUCGUUAUCAUCCGGGGGGAAUCUUCGAGGAUCUCCCGGCCUUGGCGGUCGAGCAGAUGCGUCCUUCUGUAGUAGAGGGACAGUCGUGGGAGAAUAUCGAGGAGACUCGUUCGACUCCUAGUAGCGUGAAAGCUUUAUUGAGGGAAUGCGAAGGAACCGGAGUGACCUUCUUGAUCCCAACUAGAUCUCAGAGGCCGUGGUCCCCUCCUUUGGGAUUCAGUGCGUCUAUGAGUCAUACUUUCAGGAUGAGACCAAACUUUGGUUUCCAAUUCCUCGACUAAUCACAUCUUACGCGAGACAUCGUGACGCGGCGAUAAGUCAAUUCUUUAAUGGUGCGUUCUGUACCUCAGUGGCAUUGAUGGUGACUGCGGCGGAGAUCGACGUUUCGAUGAGUGUUCGGACACUCGAGGAGUUGACCUAUACGAAGUCCAAGGGCGAUGGUUUAUUCUCGAUCCAGAUGAGGCCCAACUACAACGUGAUCGUCGAUCAUCCGUGCAGGACGGCGCACUGGCAAUGUUUCUACUUUUAUGUCAAAUCUGAUGGUUUUGCCUUCGAGGAGCCGCCCGACGUUUCCUUUCGAUUUUUGUGGAAUCAUAAACUCGGUAGAACGCUGUUGUCAGCUCAUUGACUGGCUCUUUUCCUUGUUGUCUGACGAGUUUUCGUUUAUUUGCAGCUGAUCAUCUGGACACGGCCUCUUAUCCGGAAGAUUUCGUCUCUAAUGCUCGUGAAGUCGUUUCGCGCGUCCAAGUGAGCUGGAAGGAUAUCACCGUCGAGAGGAUUAAACAAGUGCUUGACAGAAUCUCGAGGAGUAAGUUUCCUCUUGCGAUCACUUGUUUUCUUCCAGCUCAUGCCAGUUCCGAGAUUUAUCUGAACCAGGUUGCUGAUCUUUUUCAGGGGAUUGGAGGUCUGAUCCACUACCUUUGAUUACCGAUAACAAGCGGCAUUUUUCGAUAUUUAGUAGUGCCGAGCAAAAGAUCAUCAACGCGGCCAGGGAAAUGAAAGAGGCAUCCUCUGCGGCUCCUAGUGAGACAACUCUUAGUGGGACGACUCCUCGCGAAGAGCCUUCUCGCGUGAAGACUCCUCGUGGAGCAGUUCCUCCCGCUCCUCUUCCUCUUGUGAUUUCCCUCGGACCGUCCGAAGGCCCGGAUAACGUCGACUCCUCGAGGGGGGAUCUCACAUUGAUCUCUGAACGAGAGAUUGCCGAACAGUCGGUGACUGGUGGUAAUAAGAAGAGAUCUGCUCCUGACUCCUCUGCAUCGGCGGCUUCUCAAGCGAGGUCUGAAUCUGAUGGUCCUCCAAAAAAGAAAAAGAAAAAGGAGAGGAAGAAGAAGAAAUCUGUUGAGGGACAGUCGGAGCCUGCUGAAGGCGCCGAGACUUGCGAGACCGUUAUCGAGAAAGAUCUUCCUCGCGAUGCUGCAGCUCGGAGAAUCGUCGACUCGGACAACUCCCCGUCCAUCUCUCUGAAGAAGAAGAAAAUUGCCCGCAGUCAUGAGUCGUCUACUCCGGCUGCGUCUGCUUCUGCUGCGAAGAUUUCUCCAGCUGCACCUCGGACUCUCGUUGAAGGCGGUUCGGCCUCUGUGGAUCGCCGAGUUAAGUUUCAUGACCGCGUGGAGUUCAAGUAUGUCGGCGAGACUCCUCUUUCCUUCGCCCCGACUGACUGUGCUGAGCUUGUUCGACAAAUUAAGGGUGGUCGCAAGGACUUGCCCGCUGUCAAGGACCUUAUUUUCAAGGACGCGUACGUCGACGCGGCAAGGACUAAAAUUCUGGUAAGAAUUACUCCCCUUAUUUUGUAUUUUUCAUGUUCCUGGUUCUGAUCUUUUCUUUCGUUUAUGUAGAGCGACGGGAGCAUGAACUACGUCAUCGAGUUAUACGACUCAGCCCUUAAGGAGGCCACGUCCAAGUUGAGGCAUGCCGACAAGCUCGCUCGAGAGAAGGAUGCAGCUAUUGACCGCAAGACGAAGGAAUUUAAAGCGACAAUUGAUAAGGCCGCGGAGGACCGGGCUCAACUGAUCGAGAGGAAGAAGGCUCAGAAGGCUCGUUUCCUGGAGAAAUUCGGAGAGUUGAAGGAUAAAUUUGAGGCUGCGGGUGCAAAGGUACGAGGACUCGAGGAGGAUAAGAAGGCUUGGUUAAGAGAGAAGGCAGCUAUGGAGGAGAAGAUGGUGUCCACCGCGCUUAGGCACUUGAAAGAGGUCAACAGACUGAGGGACUCUCGAGGUUACGAGGUUACUCAUGAGCGGUUCCGUGUACAAACGGCCAUGAUUGCUAAGAGCAAUAAGCGUUUUUCCCAAAUUCGAGAUCUCGAGAAGCGUUGUAGCGAGUUCGAAACAGCCAGAUCCUUGCAGAGCCAAGCUUUUGGGACAAAGAAGUGUCUCGAAACGCUUAAGGAGAGCGGGAUCGACAUUCCGCAGGAGAGGAUUGACUUGUUCGCCGAACAAGAGAAAGAGUACGAGGUUGCGGCUGGACGCCUAGCUGUCGGAGGGAUCCCGGAGGAGCUUCUCUGUCUUUCUCCUCUUCAUCUCCGAUCUCCUUUUCUGAACGAGAAUGUGUGGGCGACGAUUGACCCAUAUGGAUCAAAUGCGGGCCUGAUUGAUGCUGGGACCGCUGCUUUCCUUCAAACUCCCAGUAGUUCUCAAGGAGAUCAUGCGAACGAAUGAUCUGUAAAACCGACUGGGAGAGAGCUCAGGGAAUUAUCUCUUCAAGAAGGUGGGAUCGUUGGCGAGGUCGUAAGGCUCGAGGGUACGACCGUUGCAUCUGCUUUGGAUCCGACUACGCUCUCCACCAGCCUCGUCGCGAUGAAGAUCCGCUGGUCCCGGUUGCCGAGACGGAGACAGAGCCUGUCAAUCUACUUGAACUCUCAGAUUCUUCGACUGAAGAAGAGGGUGGCGAACAAUUGGAGAAGACCGAUUCCGGCUUAGUCGGUGACUCGCAAAAUGAAGAGGGAGCAGUUAUCGGAAACGAUAAUCUGCCAGUUCUGCCAGCGGAUGUAAUCGGGGAGGCUUCGGAUCAGCUCGCUGCUUAGGUCGUCGAGGGGGGCUCCGACCAUGUCGUGGACUAGUUUAAUAUGUUGUUGUUGUUUUCCUUAGACUUUUGGUUUUUAGCCCUUGGAGGCUUUUAUCGAUGUAAUAUCCGGAUUUACUUUGCUUUUGUAGCUAUCCGUCGUUUCAGAAUUUCAGUAGGUUUAAACGAUUUUGGUUUGGCAAUCUGGUCGACGUCUUGAAUCAAACCGAAGAGUCGAUGACUCAGCUUUAUCAAAUUUUGACACAUCAUGCCGUCAGUUCGAGUCCUCAAUAACAUAAAUUUUCGAGUUUCGAAGACAAUCGUUUAUACUUUCGAGCGACAACAGUUCUCAAAUCGAUCUUUAAGUAAUCCAAAAAAAGAAUAUUAGGUUGGCCAAGUCCGGCUUUAGAGGAUUAUAAGAUGAUUGAAAGUUGUCGUCUCGAUCGCAUGGGUCGGGACCGCGAUGCGACCGAAGAAUCCCUCGAGCAUGUGUCUGAUCAGGACAUGCCCGUUAGUGGGUGCGAGUGCUAGUACGUUUGUCCGAGAGACAAGGUCGUGCUCAUGCGUAAGCAUCGCUUAAAACAAUUCGCGCUCCUACUUGUUGGGAGAUUGAUUUUGUUAUAGCUGGACCCGGUAAAGGGCUGUCUACGUACCUCUAGGAGAGGAUCAAGCCAUUCGUAGUUCGUUUUGGUUAGUAAAAGUGGCAUUGGAUGCGCAUUCACUUUUUUUUUUUUUUUUUUUUUGUGGGGGAAGGGAAAAAGUGCGCCUUCACUUUUUUUUUUUUUUUUUUGGGAGUGAAAGUGACAAGUGUGUCAUUCACUCUUCGAGUGUUCGAUCUUCGGACUUGUGCCUAAGAGUAGUAUCGUCGUAGGUGCAUCGAGUUCCACGCUCUGGGGACGGGUUUGCCGGUCGACGUCUCGAGUCGGUAGACUCCUGGUUUGACGACUUGAGAAAUUUUGUACGGCCCUUCCCAGUUAGUUCCGAGCUUGCCUGCAUUCAGCUCCUUGGUGUUUUUGAACACUUUGCGUAGUACUUUGUCGCCCAGUUCGAGAGGUCGAGACUUGACCUUCUUGUUGUAGUAACCUUCGAUCUGAUGCUGAUAGUUCUGGAUGCGGAGUAGUGCUUGGUCGCGGCGUUCUUCUAUAACGUCCAGGGCGUCGAAGAGCAUACCGCUGUUGAGCUCGACGUUUUGUGGCAUCCUCGAUCUUCGCAGGCUGGUUACGUUGACUUCGGCGGGAGCCAUGGCUUCGACUCCAUGUGCCAUCGAGAAAGGAGUCCACUUUGUUGCUCCUCGAGGAGUUGUUCGAUGUGACCAGAGGACACCGUCGAGUUCGUCUGCCCAAUAUCCUUUUUUGAGAUCGAGGCGCUUUUCCAAACCGUCUAUAAUGAUUUUGUUGGUCGCCUCGGCUUGGCCGUUGCUCUGGGGGUAUCGCGGACUUGAUGUGUUGAGUCGGAUUCUCCAUCUCUCGCAGAACUCUUGAAAUUUGUUCGAUAUGAAUUGGGAGCCGUUGUCAGUCACUAUCUCGUAAGGUAAGCCAUGGCGACAGAUGAUGUUCUUCCACACAAAUCGUUGAACCUCUUUUUCUGUAAUGCUUGCGAAAGCUUCCGCCUCAAUCCAUUUCGUGAAGUAAUCUGUCAAGACCAGGACGAAGCGUUUCUGUCGAGAACUCGGCAUCGGGCCGAUUAUGCCCAUCCCCCAUCGCAUGAAAGGGUAUGGAGCUGUCAUCGUUCGCAGCAACUGUGUCGGGGAGUGGAUCGUUGAGGCAUGUCGCUGGCACAGAUCGCAUCGCUGGGCGUAAGCUUCGCAGUCUGCAUUCAUUGUUGGCUAGUAGAAACCGAGACUUUUUACUUUUAAAGCAAGUGCUCGACCUCCAGAAUGAUUUCCUGCGGCGCCUUCGUGCGUUUCAGCCAUGACUAAAUGCGUCUCUUCGCCAUUGAUGCACUUCAUAAGUACCUUGGUUGCGGUCCAUCGGUGGAGUUCUCCGUCGAGGACGACAUAGUGGGCACUCCGCGUCUUGAGUCGUCGUGCGAUCCAUUUCUCGGGAGGUAACUUCCCAUCGACCAGAUAGUCAAUAAGUUCAGUUCUCCAGUCGUUGGUGUCGUCUGGCGCCUCUUCGAGGACUUGGUUCGCGGCUGUGGCUUCGGUUAUUGGCGCUACGAUGGCGGUUUCGAUGGGAGUCAGGUCGAUGCUUGGUUUAUUGAUCUUGUGGAUAGGGAUGGUACGUUUCACCUGAUCGCGCAACCUGCUACCUAGGGCAGCAAGAGCGUCAGCGCAUACGUUCUCCCCCCUGGGAACUUUGGUGAGUUCGAAGAAUUCGAAAUCUUUGGCAAGUGUUUGAACGGUCUUAAGGUAUGCGUCCAUUCAUUCGUUGCGGGCGUCGUAGUCACCACUAAACUGACUGGUUACGAGUUGUGAGUCGCAGUAUGCGCUGAGGCGUUUCGCCUUGACUGCCUUGGCGAGUCUUAGUCCUGCGAUCAAUGACUCGUACUCUGCUUCAUUGUUUGAAGCGGCGAAGCCGAAGCUGAACGACUGUCUUAUUAGUUCUCCUGUCGGGGAUUGCAGCUGCACUCCUGCCCCUGAUCCUUUGUUUGUCGACGACCCAUCGACGUGGAGUAUCCAAUUUUGACUCGGGAGAAUUAGAUCUUGCUCGAGCUCUGGUGCAAGCUCGAUGAGAAAGUCUGCGAGGACUUGAGAUUUCGCAGCUGUUCAAUUUUUGAAGACAAUGUCGUGCUCGCUGAGUUCGAUAGCCCACUUCGAUAACCGUCCAGAUUGGUUUGUAUUCUGCAUUACCGUUCGCAAUGGUUGAUUUGUCAAUACUUCGAUUGUGUGCGACUGGAAGUAGGGGUGCAGUUUUCUCGCCGACGUUACAACGGCGAGAGCCAUCUUCUCAAGGGUGGGGUACCGAGUUUCUGGAUCAGUCAUGCGUUUGCUCGUGUAGAAGAUAGGCUUCUGUUCUCCUCGAUCCUCUCGGAUGAGGACGCUGCUGACCGCGGUUGUUGAUACGGCGAUAUAGAGUGAGAGUGUAUCGUCGGUUUCGGGUUUGGAUAAAACAGGAGGAGUCGUAAGAUACUCCUUGAGUUGUUUGAACGUCUCUUCGCACUUCUCGUCCCAGAUGAAGCGUUUGUUUCCUCGCAACAACUCGUAGAAAGGAAGGCAUUUGUCCGUGGAUCUUGAAAUGAAACGGUUCAAGGCUGCGAUCCUUCCUGUAAGUCGUUGGACUUCUCUGCUGGUUUUUGGGCUCGGAAGAUCAAGUAUGGCGGAGAUCUGUUUAGGGUUUGCCUCGAUUCCUCGCUGGGUGGACGAUGUAUCCUAAAAACUCUCCUGAGGUAACGCCAAAAGUACACUUGGCUGGGUUGAGUUUCAUCCCAUAUUCAUUCAACGUCUUGAAACAUUCUUUGAGAUGAUCUAGAUGGUCCGUUGCGCGGAGUGAUUUUACCAGCAUGUCGUCGAUAUAGACUUCCAUCGUGCUCCCUAAUUUGUCGGCGAACAUUCGAUUGACGAGUCUUUGAUAAGUCGCACCCGCGUUCUUGAGACCGAACGGCAUUACUUUAUAACAGUACGUCCCUCUAUCAGUGAUGAACGCCGUCUUCUCUUGAUCGUCCGGAUGCAUCAUGAUCUGAUUGUAACCAGAAAAUGCGUCCAUGAAGGUCAGGAGUUCAUUCCCGGCAGUCGACUCGACGAGUCUUUCGAUAUGCGGGAGGGGGUAACUGUCUUUUGGGCAUGCUUUGUUUAAAUCGGUAAAAUCGACGCAAACGCGCCACUUCCCGUUCUUCUUCUUUACGACGACUGGGUUAGCUAGCCACUCGGGGUACCGCACCUCGGUGAUUGAGCCAGCUGCGAGGAGUCGCUAAACUUCUUUGUUGAUAGCUUUGCUUCGGUCGUGACCUAGCUUUCGUCUCUUCUGGCGAAUCGGUUUGAUGGUGGGAUCGACAUUCAACUCGUGGGAUGUGAUGGCGGGGUUUAUUCCUUUCAUAUCCGACGUCGCCCAAGCAAACGUUGAAGCGUUCUCCUUGAGAAAGUUGAUGAUUGCGCGUUGCAUCUCUUCGUCGAGGAAGGCUCCGACUCGGACUACUUUGCUCUUAUCAGAGUCGUCGAUGGUGACUUCUAAAAUCUCGUCUUUUUGUGGUUGGAUUUGCUUUGCUAUCGCGUUGAUGCGAGGAGUUGAUUGUUGCAUUUUCACCGUUGCGAUGAGUAGUUCGCGAGCGGCCUGCUGGUCUCCGCGAAGCGUCUGCACCUCACCGUUUAGUCCUGGAAACUUCACGCACUGAUGAUAUGUCGAAGACACUGCCUUAACGGAAUGUAACCAGGGGGUUCCGAGGAUUGCGUUGUAAGGAGCUUUCGUUCGGAUGACUGAGAACUUGACCGUGCGUAUCACUCCGCAUGCAUAGACGGGGAGUUUGAUCGUACCAAUCAUUGUCUCAGAGGCACCGUUGAAUCCUGUAAGGGAGCGAGAUGAUGGCUUCAUGUCGCGCAAGUCGACUCCCAUCUUAUCGAGCGUAUCUCGAAAGAUUAAGUCGACUGAACUGCCUGUGUCAAUCAACACUUUAGCGACGUCACACUUCGCAAUACCUACCUCGACUAGCAGUGGGUCGUUGUGAGGUAAAUGGACGCCGAUGGCAUCGUCUGGCGAGAAAGUGAUUGAGGAAUCGUGUUCGGGUUUCGAUGGCCAUUUCUUCGAGGUUACUGCCUGUCGUCGAUGGUCCUUUACAGACCGGAUGGAAUCACCGCAAGGAGGUGAGCCGCCCAUGAUUACGUUUAAGAAGUUAGACUCGACGACUCGUUUAUUUCUCAGUCGAGUCCUCGAGUCGCUAGGCAAGUCUUCGAUGAUAGGUGGAUUUUUUACGUUGGGCGAGUCCUCGACAACGGGUGAGUCCUUGACAACAGAUUUGUGUACGUCCUCAUUCUUGGAUCUCGCCUCCUCGAUUCUCCGUCGUAAGUCCGAAUGUUUUGGUCGGUUGAGCUUGAUUCUGAAAUCUUCCGACUUUGAGUUGAGCUUUUCGCGAAGGUCGAUGACUCGUGGCCUGAGACGGGAUUGAGCAUUCAAGUCCUCAAUUUUCUUAGCCUUGGAUUUUUCGAUGACUGAGCGGAGAUUUUUGUGUGAGUCAUAUGUGCGAUCAGGUGUUUGCGACUUUCGCCUGAGCUUGUUUCUUAAGUCGUUUGACCCUUCUGACCCUAUGCUCUCGUUCGUUCGUUUGCUGGAAUACUGGCGUGAGUCAUGGAUCUGUUUAUCCUCUUCUUCGUCUGAGGAGGAAUUGGGUCGUUCGAGGAUGACUUGUACACGUCGACGAUUACGCGGUUGCUCCUCGUCGACUUGUACGUCGCCGUCUUCUUCUUCGUGCUCUUCUGGCUUGUCAUCCUGCCGGUUUCCAGACUUAUCCUGAUUCUUGUGAGUUUUCUUUUCUUUGUUUUUGCUCCAGCUCUUGGUGCCGUUGGGCCUAGGCUUAGGGAGUUCGACGUUUGACGUUCCCUUUUCGUACGACGAGAAGAGGGAGUCUAACAAAUGCCUGCAGUUCCUUGUAUCAUGUGCCUUAGACUUGUGGAAGCUACACCACAUAUUUGACUCAGCUGGUCCAGGACUUGACGCCGGAGGUGUCGAAGAGGUUUGCGGCUUUUCGUCGUUCUCCCAGACAUUCCAACCUUUUUUGCGUACAACGACAGUGGGCUGUGGGGACGCGUUUUUGUCUUCAACCACGUAGACGAAACUUUUCGGCUGGUUAGGUUUAUUGCCUGAGGUGUGCUGACGAGGUUCCUGGCGUGCCUCGGGAGCUUUGGGGACAGUUUCCGGUUUGGUUGCCGUGUUCAAUUUCUUAAGUAUCGCAGCUGUGUCUUCUUCCAUUCGGAUGAAGUUGUUUGACCUGGCGAUUGCGUCCUGGAGCGAAGUGGUCGGAUUUCUGUAGAGAUCCUCGCGAAACAGGGACUUGAAAUAGAGAGUGUUCAUCAAUGCGUCGACGGCAACACUGUCGGGGACUUGGACUUUUGAGGCGACUGCUUUGAAUUUUUCCAUGAAGUCGCGGAGGCUUUGGCUCGGUCCUUGAGAUAGAUUCCAUAAAUCGGACAGAGUUGCUCCUUGUCUUGUAAACAUGAUGUAGUGCUUGAGGAACGCAGUCGUCAGAUCGUGGAAAUUGUUGAUAGAGUCGCGCUCCAAUCCAGUGAACCAUCCGAGGGCUGGUCCUUGAAGACUUUCCACGAAGAGUCGACAGUAGCCAGCGUCUCUUUCUUCUUCAGAGAAGUUGGUUCGACCCAUCGUGAUGUUGAAAGUAGUGAUGUGGUCGGUUGGGUCUACCUUUCUGGCGUAAGUCGGGAGGCGAAUUUUCUCGGUCGGACGGUAACGUAAGUCGGUGAUCUUCGGGGAAAAUGGGGUUUUAAAGGUUUCGGCGAGGACACGUUCGAUCAGCGGUGCUGAAGUAGGUCUUUCGAGCAUUCGGUCUUUCAUGUCCAGGACUGAUUGCUUAAGCUCAGUGAGUUCCCGGACGGUAACGAGGUCGACGCCGCCGGGAGUUUGGACCUGUUCGACACUCGUGUUUGCUGGGUUUCCGGCACUGGCUGUUCGGUAAGUGUCGAACAGUUGUUUUCGGACCAUCGUAGCCGGAUCUCCAUUCGUCGGUGGGUCAAGACAAAGACGUGUUUUAUUAGAUCAAUGAGUCGAAACCGAGUUACAAAAAUGGGAAGUGAACAGAGGAAAAAGUCCGGCGAAGACAAAUUCGUCAGACCGUACAAGUCGGCGAGAUGUAAGAUGUAAAACCCUAAUUCUAGCCGAAAGUGAGUGUAGUAAUUUGCGGAUCCCCUCCUUGUUGCCUUGUCUCCUCCUUUUAUAAGUGAAUGCUCGUUGACCUAAUGUGUCUUGUCUCGAUGGGCCUCUUCGAGUAGUUGGGCUGACUCGUCGGGCCGUUGUGUCAGGUCGACGAGCCGAUGACGUUUAGUCAAUCACCUCAUUGACUGAAAGUAGUCUGAGCCAAGCUGAACACCGGCUUUCGAGUCGACGAGCCGAUCUUCUGUGUUGUAAUCAUAUGUCUGGGUAAUUGUCUUGCGGGCCUUUUGGGAGGGCUAAGCCCAUACCCAACAACAGUUAGGUCACAAAGCACCUAGAUGCCUUGGUCUCCCUCCAGUCCCAAUCAACGCUGUAUCUGAAAACUCUUAUGCUGCAUAUCAGUCUCUCAAAGUUACUAAAUCAGCUCCACUAGAAUCUUAGGAAAAUCGAGAUACUUUAUCUUUUGAUUCUCAAGGUUGUAUUCUUCUUGAUCAUGAAGGAAGCGGCCUCCCUAUAAAUGAAAACUCAGAGAUAGGAGAACCAAGUAGAGAAGUCACCACAGUCCCCUCUGCUUCAGUUGUGGCUGUGAACACUCCUACAGGCUCCUUCACUGAAAAGGUUCAUGUGUCUUGUACACCUUCUGAGACUGUUCAAGGUACUCAUGUUACUGCUGUUACUGAUGAAAAGGAACUCCCACCAUCUACCGUAGUUUUUGUCUCUCUUAAUGACGAAACCUGCGAACAAUUAGAUGUCGCAGAACCUGUUGACUCCUCAACACAGUCUGCACCACCAACUCCAAAGGCUCCUUCAGGGAAGUUUGUUGGGAAUGUUGAUAUUGUGUUUGAUAACUCUAACUCCUCUCCGUCUUCUGUACCAUUUGUUCAUGACAACUUAUUUGCGAUGUUGGAUAGUGCUGACGACAGUGAACCAUCGAGUGUCCCACUAGCCAAGGAACUUGUCUUCUCAAAUUCUCCAUUACCAUUUACUUUUGCCUCUAAUGAUACUUCCCCUACACAUCUUCGAGACCCGUUUGUAGAUGAUGAAUCAACACUAAGGUCACGAGGCGGUAGGCCAUUAAAGCCAUCUCAAAGGCUUAAAGAGAUGGAAUGGUUUACUGUUACAAGGAAAGGAAAAAGAGGCCGAGGAAGAGGUCCUCAUCACUAGGUUCACAACAAAAUCUUUGUAAGUGUUGCUUCCAUUAUACUAUGUUGCUUUCGUGUCUCUCUUGACUUUAAAACUGUUGCAUGUUGUUUUAUCUUUGAACUCUUAAGAGCAACAUUAUCCAUAGGACCAAUUAGUGUGUCCUUAGGUUAUUUUAAUGUUAUUUUGAUGUUAAGGACUUAGGUUAGGGACAACCUUAAAAGCUAAGAUUAUUGGUAGGACUUUUAGUGGUAUCUUAGUUAAUUAUUUUUUUUUAUAAGUUUUAACAUUUUAAUGACAUAUAAAUGAUAAGUUUUGAAUAAAACAAUAAAACAUUUAAAAUAGAAAACACAAACAGAAGAAAAUUACAAAGUUGGAAAAAAAAUUAUAAAUAAAUAAUAGGAAACAAACAUUUUAUUGAAUUCACACAAACAUAAACAUUAUAUUAAGUUGGAAGAUGUCCAAAUUUCUCUCAUAUAUUUUCAAUCAAAUCUUCUUUUAAUUGUUCAUGGACAUGUGGAUCCCGAACUUCUUUGCGACGACCAAUUCUAUCGCCGUGUUUUGUAGACUUUUUAACGCCAAAUGUAAAAUCAUGAUCUUGAAAUUCCUCAACAGUGUCUGCAUCUCGUUCAUCUUCGACAAUCAUAUUAUGGAGUAUGAGACAUGCUCUCAUAAUAUUUGAUAUUUUGUUUUUAUCCCAUAAAUUAGAAGGAUUUUUAACAACAGCGAACCUAGCUUGCAAAACUCCAAAGGCACGAUCAACAUCUUUUCGAACGAAUUCUUGAGUUUUAGCAAAUAAAGAAUGUUUGGGACCUUGUGGUAGUCGGAUAGAUUGAAUAAAAGUCGCCCAUUUUGGAUAUGACCUAACCAUAAACUACUAUACGAAAGUCAAAUCAGAGUUAUUACACAUCUUGUCACCAUAAUGACCUAACCUAAAAAAUAAAACAGGAUCUGGUUGAGAACAAACUAGAUUAUCAUCUCACUUCAUCCGAGAAUACAUGAUUUGGUUGCAAACAGACAUAGUUCAUGCCCACGAGUAUUAUCAUCUCACUACAUCACACAAUUCAAUUCUUUUACUUUCCUACAAGUGCAUUAACUAACACAACCAACCAAGCCUACUAAAGUCUAAUCAGAGUUCAUGCCUACAAGUAUUAAAUCCGACUUAUCAAUUCAUGCCUACUACCAAGUAUUGUAGUUCAAGUGAAAGUGAAUUACCUUGUAGUUUGGAUGAAAUGCUUGUUCUUUAAAUUUGUUUAUCUUCCGGGUUAUUGACAGCCCCUCCAACCUAACCUAAUAGCUCACUCACAAUCAAACGAAAAAAGCAUAUAUCAGUUUCAACAUUCAAUCAAAAAUAACUCACACUACAAAACCUUCAAUCAAAAAUCAGUCACACUAGAAGCACACACACGAUUAUAUUUGCAUAAAACAUUCAAUCAAAAAUCAUCACACUCCAAACGUAAUGCUUUAGCAAACGUUGACUCAAAAAUAAUCACACUACAAAACCGUAAUGCUUUUGAAAACAACAUUCACGAAGACGAUGAGAAAUAGCAACUCAUAUCACAAAGACGAUUUCAAAUAUUUAAAACCCUAUAGCUACAUCGACAACACAUUUCACAAACAAGAUUCCAAAUUUUGAAAACCCUAUAGCUACAACGACAAAAGAAUCCUAAUCCAAGGCAGUAGAUCGAGAACGAGAACAAAAAAAUAUAAAUACUCUAUAAGCUCGAGGAACACAGACCUUCUUCUCCUUCGUAUUCAGUGAAACACUGUCGGUGAGACCACGGAUCCUCUCUGCUGCGUUCGAUAUCAAGUAGAGGAGUACUGUCGAGACCGAUGCGCCGUCCAGACAGAACCGCCGCGAGAGAGAAGCAAAGUCGCGAGAGAAUCGCCGUGGAGAUAGAUCCGCCGACGGGAGAGAGAACUGAUCGACGUCGCGAGAGACCCUCUGGGAAGAUAGAAGCGGUGGAAGAGAUGGCGCGAGAUAAACGGAAGAGAUGGAAGAAAUCGCACUCUCGAUCGCCUUGGAGCAACACGCCGUGAGUUCACCGACACGAAAUGAAGGACGGAGUCAACGAGAUUUGUCCUAGAAAUCAUCGGCCAUUCCCAUCGCGACAUGUGCGUGUUAAGGACGUCCCCAACACAUCUUAACUAAGGGACGUCCCACGCUUAAUUCACUCUUUUUGAUUUUCAUUUUAAUUGCAUUAUGUUAAGG
rnacentral:lncRNA from 1 species